rnacentral:rRNA from 1 species
AGUGAACGCUGGCGGUAGGCCUAACACAUGCAAGUCGAACGGCAGCACAGUAAGAGCUUGCUCUUACGGGUGGCGAGUGGCGGACGGGUGAGGAAUACAUCGGAAUCUACUUUUUCGUGGGGGAUAACGUAGGGAAACUUACGCUAAUACCGCAUACGACCUACGGGUGAAAGCAGGGGAUCUUCGGACCUUGCGCGAUUGAAUGAGCCGAUGUCGGAUUAGCUAGUUGGCGGGGUAAAGGCCCACCAAGGCGACGAUCCGUAGCUGGUCUGAGAGGAUGAUCCGCCACACUGGAACUGAGACACGGUCCAGACUCCUACGGGAGGCAGCAGUGGGGAAUAUUGGACAAUGGGCGCAAGCCUGAUCCAGCCAUACCGCGUGAAUGAAGAAGGCCCUCGGGUUGUAAAGCCCUUUUGUUGGGAAAGAAAAGCAGCAGGUUAAUACCCCGCUGUUCUGACGGUACCCAAAGAAUAAGCACCGGCUAACUUCGUG